rnacentral:misc_RNA from 1 species
AUCUAUUGCCUGGCCAAUUGUGGGUUUCUGUGUUGCGUACCUAAGCAUUGGUAUUGUCUUGGUUGAUUACAGUUGAUUUCGUCUCCCGCCAGUUUUGUGGCAUCAGAUGAACCACAAAGCGGUCUCUUUGAUCCACAACAUUAUGCUUGCGUUGAUGUUGUGGCUCAUUGAGCGUUGCUUGGUAUCCUGGAUAUGGAAAAUGAUGUGGGCAUGGGGUCUCAUGGGAUCCUUGUUUUGCCCUCAUUUAGCGUUUGUGCCUCUCUUAACAUGACUUGCUGUCUUGCCUGGUUUGGCCUUGCCAUCGGGAGGGUUUGUCAAAGUUAACAAUGCUUACUGUCUUGCCUGAUUUGGCCUGCCAUCGGGAGGGUUUGUCAAAGUUAACAAUGCCUACUGUCUUGCCUGAAUUGGCCUUGCCAUCGGGAGGGUUUGUCAAAGUUAACAAUGCCUACUGUCUUGCCUGAUUUGGCUUUGCCAUCAGGAGGGUUUGUCAAAGUUAACAUGACCUACUGUCUUGCCUGAAUCGGCUUUGCCAUUGGGAUCAGGAGGGUUUGUCAAAGAGUGGCGCAUCACCUUGAAAGACUUGCCUGUCCCGUGGUGGCUCGUACCAGCGGGCGGGUUAUUCAAUUAGGGAUGC